rnacentral:rRNA from 1 species
AUUGAACGCUGGCGGCAUGCCUUACACAUGCAAGUCGAACGGCAGCACGGGAGCAAUCCUGGUGGCGAGUGGCGAACGGGUGAGUAAUGUAUCGGAACGUGCCCAGUCGUGGGGGAUAACGUAGCGAAAGCUACGCUAAUACCGCAUACGAUCUAUGGAUGAAAGCGGGGGACCGUAGGGCCUCGCGCGAUUGGAGCGGCCGAUAUCGGAUUAGGUAGUUGGUGGGGUAAAGGCCUACCAAGCCGACGAUCUGUAGCUGGUCUGAGAGGACGACCAGCCACACUGGGACUGAGACACGGCCCAGACUCCUACGGGAGGCAGCAGUGGGGAAUUUUGGACAAUGGGCGCAAGCCUGAUCCAGCAAUGCCGCGUGCAGGAUGAAGGCCUUCGGGUUGUAAACUGCUUUUGUACGGAGCGAAAAGGCUCUCUCUAAUACAGGGGGCUCAUGACGGUACCGUAAGAAUAAGCACCGGCUAACUUCGUGCCAGCAGCCGCCGUAAUAC